rnacentral:rRNA from 1 species
UACGUAGGGGGCAAGCGUUGUCCGGAAUCAUUGGGCGUAAAGCGCACGUAGGCGGAUAUUUAAGUCAGGGGUGAAAUCCCAGAGCUCAACUCUGGAACUGCCUUUGAUACUGGGUAUCUUGAGUAUGGAAGAGGUAAGUGGAAUUGCGAGUGUAGAGGUGAAAUUCGUAGAUAUUCGCAGGAACACCAGUGGCGAAGGCGGCUUACUGGUCCAUUACUGACGCUGAGGUGCGAAAGCGUGGGGAGCAAACAGG